ensembl:snRNA U6 U6 spliceosomal RNA
AUACAAAACAAUCUUUAUCAAGAUUCCAAUGGUAAUGAUACAGAGAAGAUUACCAUGGCCCCUGUGCAAGUCAGUCAGUUUGGUUGGUCACUUGUGUCUGACUCUU